UACGAAGGGGGCUAGCGUUGCUCGGAAUCACUGGGCGUAAAGGGUGCGUAGGCGGGUCUUUAAGUCAGGGGUGAAAUCCUGGAGCUCAACUCCAGAACUGCCUUUGAUACUGAAGAUCUUGAGUUCGGGAGAGGUGAGUGGAACUGCGAGUGUAGAGGUGAAAUUCGUAGAUAUUCGCAAGAACACCAGUGGCGAAGGCGGCUCACUGGCCCGAUACUGACGCUGAUGCACGAAAGCGUGGGGAGCAAA
rnacentral:rRNA from 1 species